GACAGAGGGUGCAAACGUUUGUUCGGAAUUACUGGGCGUAAAGCGCGUGUAGGCGGCUAUGCAAGUCGGGCGUGAAAUCCCACGGCUCAACCGUGGAAGUGCACUCGAAACUGCGUAGCUAGAGUCCUGGAGAGGAAGGUGGAAUGCUUGGUGUAGAGGUGAAAUUCGUAGAUAUCAAGCGGAACGCCGGUGGCGAAGGCGGCCUUCUGGACAGUGACUGACGCUGAGACGGCGAAAAGCGUGGGGGAGCAAACAGG
rnacentral:rRNA from 1 species